rnacentral:lncRNA from 1 species
GAACGGUGUGCUUGAGGAGGUCUGUCGAAUCUUGAAAGCUUAACAGAUAUGGGGUUUUGAAUUUUUUAUUUUUAUUUCUUUCCUGUCCCCAGUAGAGCGUAAACCUUUGGAGGAACCUGUCACAGGAAAGAGCUCCUUCUGGAACUGUUCAGCACUCGCUGAAACACAGUGUACGACACGGGACUUGACGACCAGAGCUGCUUUUGGCAAGGGGUGUUGUAGCUGGCCUAAGAGAGCAGAUGGAAGCGUCUGCCUCGAGGGGAGGGGAGGGCACGGAGGUAAGGCAGCAGCUGAGAGUAACUGUCCCAGCUGUGCUGUGGCUUUGGAUGCUGCUUCAGCCUAUGCUUUUCUUUUUGUUUCACAUUUGUCUCACACAGGCUGA